GACGGGAUCCAUGGCUUCGGCUGUGGUGAGAGUGGCGAACGGGUGAGUAACACGUAGGUUAUCUGCCUUUGGGUGGGGGAUAGCCCAUGGAAACAUGGGGUAAUACCGCAUAAAGCCUUUCGGGGUUAAAGGAGCAAUUGUUCCGCCUGGGGAUGAGCCUGCGGUCCAUUAGCUUGUUGGUGUGGUAAUGGCGCACCAAGGCGACGAUGGAUAGCCGGCCUGAGAGGGUGAACGGCCACACUGGGACUGAGACACGGCCCAGACUCCUACGGGAGGCAGCAGCUAAGAAUCUUCCGCAAUGGGGGAAACCCUGACGGAGCGACGCCGCGUGGACGAUGAAGGCCGGAAGGUUGUAAAGUCCUUUUCUUCGCGAAGAAUAAUGCUGGGAGUGGAAUGCCCGGCGGAUGACGUUAGCGGAGGAAUAAGCCCCGGCCAAUUACGUGCCAGCAGCCGCGGUAACACCGUAUGGGGCGAGCGUUGUUCGGAAUUAUUGGGCGUAAAGGGCGUGUAGGCGGCCUGUUAAGCUUGGUGUUAAAGGCCACGGCUCAACCGUGGUUUAAGCGCUUGAGAACUGGCGGGCUAGAGUUCUGGAGGGGGAGCUGGAAUUCCAGGUGUAGGGGUGAAAUCUGUAGAUAUCUGGAAGAACACCGGUGGCGAAGGCGAGCUCCUGGCCAUGGACUGACGCUGAGGCGCGAAAGCGUGGGGAGCGAACAGGAUUAGAUACCCUGGUAGUCCACGCUGUAAACGAUGUGCACUGCGCGUAGGGGGCAUUGGGUCCUCUGUGCCGUAACUAACGCGUUAAGUGCACCGCCUGCGGAGUAUGCCCGGCAGGGGUGAAACUCAAAGGAAUUGACGGGGGCCCGCACAAGCGGUGGAGCAUGUGGUUAAUUCGAUGAUACGCGAGGAACCUUACCGGGGUUUGACAUGCACAGGG
rnacentral:rRNA from 1 species